rnacentral:rRNA from 1 species
UACGAAGGGGGCUAGCGUUGCUCGGAAUCACUGGGCGUAAAGGGUGCGUAGGCGGGUCUUUAAGUCAGGGGUGAAAUCCUGGGGCUCAACUCCAGAACUGCCUUUGAUACUGAGGAUCUUGAGUACGGGAGAGGUGAGUGGAACUGCGAGUGUAGAGGUGAAAUUCGUAGAUAUUCGCAAGAACACCAGUGGCGAAGGCGGCUCACUGGCCCGGUACUGACGCUGAGGUGCGAAAGCGUGGGGAGCAAACAGG